AGUUACAUGGUUCUCGAUGUUAUUGUUGCAAUUUCUAGGGAAUAUGCAAACACCAUCAAGCUAGUUUGAUCACUAAUAUGAGGGUGAUUCGAAAUUUUGGAGGAUACCUCUCUCGUCGCUGGAACAAAAAAAGGGCAACAUACACACGACAUAUCCGAUUCAUCUUAACCGGACGGCAAGUUAUGAGAGCUGCGAAGAGAAUACCUAUAAUUAUGACUCGCAAAUCUGCAUUUCAACGUCCCUUUUAUUUCGCAAAACGUCUGACAGCUGACAUGGCCUUCAUUUGCUUUAAAAAAUAUUAAAUAUUCGGAUGGUUUGUGUCGCUUGUUUCGUAUAAUUGUCAUAUAGAUAACAAGUAAAAACAACUUCUGUCAA